UACGAGGGGGGCGAGCGUUGUUCGGAGUUAUUGGGCGUAAAGGGUGCGUAGGCGGUUUGGUAAGUCUUAUGUGAAAUCUACAGGCUCAACUUGUAGUCUGCAUGAGAAACUGCCGGGCUUGAGUAUGGGAGAGGUGAGUGGAAUUUCCGGUGUAGCGGUGAAAUGCGUAGAUAUCGGAAGGAACACCUGUGGCGAAAGCGGCUCACUGGACCAUAACUGACGCUGAUGCACGAAAGCUAGGGGAGCAAACAGGAUUAGAUACCCUGGUAGUCCUAGCCCUAAACGAUGACUGCUUGGUGUGACGGGUACCCAAUCCCGCCGUGCCGUAGCUAACGCGUUAAGCAGUCCGCCUGGGGAGUACGGUCGCAAGGCUGAAACUCA
rnacentral:rRNA from 1 species